rnacentral:rRNA from 1 species
GAUGAACGCUAGCGGCAGGCCUAAUACAUGCAAGUCGGACGGGAUUGAGAAGCUUGCUUUUCAUGAGAGUGGCGCACGGGUGCGUAACACGUAUGUAACCUACCCAUAUCAGGGGGAUAGCCCCUCGAAAGAGAGAUUAAGACCGCAUAACAUUAUUGAAUGGCAUCAUUUAAUAAUCAAAUAUUUAUAGGAUAUGGAUGGGCAUGCGGAACAUUAGCUAGUUGGUAAGGUAACGGCUUACCAAGGCUACGAUGUUUAGGGGAUCUGAGAGGAGGACCCCCCACACUGGUACUGAGACACGGACCAGACUCCUACGGGAGGCAGCAGUAAGGAAUAUUGGUCAAUGGACGGAAGUUUGAACCAGCCAUGCCGCGUGCAGGAAGACGGCCCUAUGGGUUGUAAACUGCUUUUGCAGGGGAAUAAACCUCGAUACGUGUAUCGAGCUGAAUGUACUCUGAGAAUAAGGAUCGGCUAACUCCGUGCCAGCCGCCGCGGUAA